ACCCCGGAACGGCGCGUGAGACUGCCUGGCUAGAGCACGGUAGAGGCGAGUGGAAUUCCAGGUGUAGCGGUGGAAUGCGUAGAUAUCUGGAAGAACACCGGUGGCGAAGGCGGCUCGCUGGGCCGUUGCUGACGCUGAGGCGCGAAAGCGUGGGGAGCAAACAGGAUUAGAUACCCUGGUAGUCCACGCUGUAAACGAUGGGCACUAGGCGUCGGGGGGAGCGACCCCCCCGGUGCCGUCGCUAACGCAAUAAGUGCCCCGCCUGGGGAGUACGGCCGCAAGGCUGAAACUCAAAGGAAUUGACGGGGGCCCGCACAAGCGGUGGAGCAUGUGGUUUAAUUCGAUGCAACGCGAAGAACCUUACCUGGGCUUGACAUGCACGUGCAAGCCGGUGGAAACACCGGCCCUCC
rnacentral:rRNA from 1 species